rnacentral:lncRNA from 10 species
GUUUCUUAAAAUUAUUUUUAUUUUACAAGUUAUGCAUAUACAAAGUACUUACAUAUAUAUAUAACACAUAUUCCUUUUUAUUUACACUCAAUUACCCAUACACUGUUCCAUACACUUUUUUUAUUAAUAUGGUAUCUUGGAAAUCUUUAUACAUCAGCACUUACAGACACAUGUCUGCUGCUGUUCCUUGAGGCCCCAUUCAUAUAUAGUGUUUUCAAUACAUCUAUGAGUAGUGAAUUCCAGAAGACCAAUGAGAGUACAAAGUAAAUGGUUUUUUAAAGCUGCCAACCACUUACGCUGAACAGAUGACAGAAGGAAAAGGCAACCCAUAGUUUCUCCUCCUUUCAGUCCUUCCUUACUCUUCAUCAGCAGGCCAAAAGUAGAGUAUUGGUGGAAUAUGCACAUAUCAAGAAAUAAAAUUUUUAAAAAUUGAUUUAGUUUCAUGCCGCAUUUCCACUGUUUUAGUAAGAACAAAAUACAUAUGCAUGCGUGUACUGUGAAAUACAAAUUGUACAAUUUCAAUGAUUCUACAUACAUCUUAAAUGCUGUUAUAUUUGUUUUUUAUCUAUAAUUUUUUUGUUUCAAUAGGUUUUUGGGUAACAGGUGGGGUUUGGUUACACGAAUAAGUUCCAUAAUGGUGAUUUCUGAGAUUUUGGUGCACCCGUUACCCGAGCAAUGUACACUGUACCCAAUGUGUAGUCUUUUAUGCCCCACCCCCACACCAACCCUUUCCUCCAAGUCCCCAAAGUCCAUUGAAACAUUUUUAAGCCUUUAUGUCCUCAUAGAUUAGCUCCCACUUAUGAGUGAGAACAUACGAUGCUUGGUUUUCCAUUCCUGAGUUACUUCACUCAGAAUAAUGGUCUCUAAUUCCAUCCAGGUUGCUAUGAAUGCCAUUAUUUCAUUCCUUUUUAUGGCUGAGUAGUAUUCCAGAAAAUAUAUACAACAUUCUCUUUAUCCACUUGUUGAUUGAUUGGCAUUUGAGCUGGUUACAUAUUUUUGAAAUUGUGAAUUGUUCUGCUAUAAACAUGCAUGUGCAAGUAUCUUUUUCGUAUAAUGACUUCUUUUCCUCUGGGUGGAUACCCAAUAGGGGGAUUGCUGGAUCAAAUGGUAGACCUACUUUUAGUUCUUUAAGGAAUCUCCACACUGUUUUCCACAGUGGUUGUACUAGUUUGCAUUCCCACCAGCAGUGUGAAAGUGUUCUCUUUUCACCACAUCCAUGCCAACAUCUUUUUUUUUUUUUUAAUUAAAGGCCAUUCUUGCAGGAGUAAGGUGGUAUUGCAUUGCGGUUUUGAUUUGCAUUUCCCUGAUAAUUAGUGAGGCUGGGAAAUGCUCUUAUAUUUGUUUUAAAACUGGCAUUGUAGGGCCGGGCGCGGUGGCUCACGGUAACUUGUGAUAAGACCUUGGGCCCUUGGUGCAAAC